GAUGAACGCUGGCGGCGUGCCUAAUACAUGCAAGUCGAGCGAACAGACGAGGAGCUUGCUCCUCUGACGUUAGCGGCGGACGGGUGAGUAACACGUGGAUAACCUACCUAUAAGACUGGGAUAACUUCGGGAAACCGGAGCUAAUACCGGAUAAUGUAUUGAACCGCAUGGUUCAAUAGUGAAAGACGGUUUUGCUGUCACUUAUAGAUGGAUCCGCGCCGCAUUAGCUAGUUGGUAAGGUAACGGCUUACCAAGGCAACGAUGCGUAGCCGACCUGAGAGGGUGAUCGGCUACACUGGAACUGAGACACGGUCCAGACUCCUACGGGAGGCAGCAGUAGGGAAUCUUCCGCAAUGGGCGAAAGCUUGACGGAGCAACGCCGCGUGAGUGAUGAAGGCCUUCGGAUCGUAAAACUCUGUUAUUAGGGAAGAACAAAUGUGUAAGUAACUAUGCACGUCUUGACGGUACCUAAUCAGAAAGCCACGGCUAACUACGUG
rnacentral:rRNA from 1 species